UACAGAGGGGGCAAGCGUUGUUCGGAAUUACUGGGCGUAAAGGGCUCGUAGGCGGCCAACUAAGUCAGACGUGAAAUCCCUCGGCUUAACCGGGGAACUGCGUCUGAUACUGGAUGGCUUGAGUUUGGGAGAGGGAUGCGGAAUUCCAGGUGUAGCGGUGAAAUGCGUAGAUAUCUGGAGGAACACCGGUGGCGAAGGCGGCAUCCUGGACCAACACUGACGCUGAGGUGCGAAAGCGUGGGGAGCAAACAGG
rnacentral:rRNA from 1 species